rnacentral:lncRNA from 1 species
UGGACAGGGGUCACCGGCGGAAUAGGCAUACCCCCUUCUUUUGAAGGAGGUUGCGCGCCAGAUUCCGGAGCCGUAUCGGUCUCCAGAAUCGAAUCCGGCUGAGGGCCGAACUGAAUACGGCCCUCGCCACCAGUCUCCAUGGGGAUUGGCUCCCCCUGGUGUCCGACGACGGAGGCCUCGCCUCCUGGCGUCUCCUGAGCCUCCCCCCCCCCCGGCCUGGGAAGGUCCUUUCGGACAGCACAUCAUCAUCUCCCUUGGCCUUGGGAGAGUAAGCGGCCAGAAGUGUCUUGUUGGCCAUCUCCUUUGAGUCCAACGAGCCUCUUGAUGAGGAUCGCUGGGAGCUGUCGUGUGCCGGACUGCAAUGACAUGAUUAAAUCAUAUAAAAUACCAUAAGGUGGAAAAGCCGGAUAAAUGGAUGUGUAUGGGUUCUUAGCACUCACGAUGCGGCCAGGGGCUUGUUCCGGGGGCGCCGCUCCGCACUGAUGUCGACGUCCCACGCGGAGCUGCCCUCGAGAGUGCCUUUCCCCUUCUUGGGUGCCUCCGCCUCCAGAAUUGUGGAGGCCGCCCUCUUCUUCCUCCCCCCAUUAGGGGGAGAAUCAAUUUCCUCCUCCUCAUCAUCGUCUUCUUCGGCGGCGGAGGAGCGGGUCUUGUCUUCGGACGUCGCGUCCGAAGCGCCCUUGCGGCGGGGGCCACUCCGGACCCCCUUGGCCUUCCCCUGGGCCUUCUUCGCCAGCGCCGUAUAGGGCGCCGGCACCAACAUCUUUGCUAAACACGGGAUGAUUGGUUCUUCAGGCAGCGGAGCCGGACACUAGAUCUGCUUCGCCCUCUCCAUCCAGUCCUGAAGAAGCAAUAAUAAUAAAAGCUUAGAUAUCAUCCUUGAAACAAGCAAGUAGGGGAUGCGUUAAAAAUAACAUACCUCAUUGGCGAGGUGGUUAAUGCCGUGCCCGUGGUCCGAAUCUGUGGUCGGCGGUGUCUCGUUGCCCUUGAAGAGUGACUUCCAGGCGUCUUCGUGAGUGGUUUCGAAGAGCCUCUUCAGAGUAUGGUGCUUCUUCAGAUUGAACUCCCAUAGAGGGAGGCUUUGGCUUUGGCACGGGAGAAUCCGGCAAACUAGCAUCACCUGGAUUAUAUCGACAAGUUUGACAUCUUUGUCCACCAUGCUUUGAACGCGCGUCUGCAGCACUAUCAACUCAUCUGGCGAACACCAGUUCGGGCUCUUCUCGACCCAGGAGGUGGGUCGCAUGGGAGCGCCGGAGUUGAAUUCGGCGGUUGCGGCCCAGGUGGCGCCGCGGGGUUCUGUGAUGUAGAACCACUGUUUCUGCCAUUCCUUUACAGUCUCCAUGAAAGUGCCUUUUGGCCAGGAGACAUUGGUCAUCUUGCUCACCAUGGCGCCUCCGCACUCUGUUGUUGAAGACCUUGAGCCACAGCCCGAAGUGGGGAUGAAUGCGGAGGAAGGCCUCACACACGACGAUGAACGCCGAGAUGUUGAGGAAAGAGUUCGGGGAUAGAUCAUGGAAGUCUAUCCCGUAAUAGUACAUUAGCCUACGGACGAAAGGGUGGAGUGGAAACCCUAGCCCGCGGAAGAAAUGGGGGAUGAAUACCACCCUCUCAUUGGGCUCCGGUGUGGGGAUGACUUGCCCCUAGGCUGGAAGACGGUGGGCGAUUUCCUUCGCCAGGUACCCGGCCGCCCGAAGCUCGGUAAUGUCCUUCUCCUUGACGGAGGAGACCAUCCACUUGCCUUGACCUCCGGAUCUGGACAUGGUUGAGUGCUUGCUCGAGUGGGAAGAAGAUGGGAAUUUGGGCGCUAGAGCUCAAGAGUGGAAGGGCAGAGGAAGAGAGAAGGCGUGGGAGAAGAAGGGGGAAUCCUUAUCCCCUUAUAAAGGCAGUGAAUAUCGAACGCCUCCCCACUCGUCCUAAAACUCGCCUAUUCCCAAGGGUUGUGUAAACGGCACGGUUGGGUUACCCAUGCUCGCAUUGAUGAAAAUCCCGCAAUAAGGGGACACGAUCUCUGCUUUGACAAGACGUGCCAAUGGAAACCGCAUCUCGAAGCGCGGAGCGGUGGACAAAAAUAGUUCGAUAUAGUGAUCGAACAGACGUGAUGUCAUCUUGCAAAAAGUUGUCAUCAGAUGGGACUCAUGAAAUAUUAUAUUCCUUGAAGUUGUGUGUGGUAAUUGUGUUGCAGAUCUGGACACCUUUGUUUUAUCCAAAGACUAUCCUAGAGUAUUCGGAAAGUAGAACCCACCUUGCAAUACCGAAGACAAUCUGUGCGCCGGACACAUCGUCAUUGAAGCCUGGUUCAGGGGCUACUGAGGGAGUCCUGGACUAAGGGGUCCUCGGGUGUCCGAUCUAUUGGAUAUGGGCCGGACUGAUGGGCCAUAAGGAUACAAAGACCGAAGACUCUACCCGUGUCCAGAUAGGACCCUCCUUGGCGUGGAAGGCAAGCUUGGCGACCAACUAUGAAGAUUCCUUUCUUUGUAACCGACCUUGUGUAACCCUAGAUCCCUCCCGUGUCUAUAUAAACAGGAGGGCUAGGUCCGUAGAUAGGCCGAAUCCCGAAUAAUCAUAGCUAGGUUAGACUCUUAGGGUUUAGCCAUUAUGAUCUCGUGGUAGAUCAACUCUUGUAAUACUCAUAUUCAUCAAGAUCAAUCAAGCAGGACGUAGGAUAUUACCUCCAUAGAGAGGGCCCGAACCUGGGUAAACAUUGUGUCCCCUGUCUCCUGUUACCAUCGACCUUAGACGCACAGUUCGGGGCCCCCUACCCGAGAUCCGCCGGUUUUGACACCGAAAAGUACAUCGGCUAGAAAACACAAGAGUCAGUGGAAGCCACAAUAUCUGAGUACAUACAUAAAGUUAAAUAAGGUUGCCUUAAGAAGGCUAGCACAAAUUAGCAACAAUCGAAAAGGCAAGGCCUCCUGCCCGGGACCUCCUAACUACUCCUCAAAGUCGAACUCCACGUAGAAUCAUCCUUGGGAUCCUAUGGCUCCUGGGCUCCAUCAUAUGAUCACAGUAGCCGAGAAAAGGGGAAAAAGAAGUAGGAAAGCAACCGUGAGUACUCAUCCAAAGUACUCGCAAGCAAGGAUCUACACUACAUAUGCAUUGGUAUCAAUGAAAUGGGUAGUAUAUGUGGACUGAACUACAGAAUGCAAGAAUAAGAAGGGGAUAGAUAGUCCUAUCGAAGACUACGCUUCUGGCAGCCUCCAUCUUGAAGCAUAUAGAAAAGAGUAGAUGGUAAGUUCACCAAGUACCAUCGUAUAGCAUAAUCCUACCCGGCGAUCCUCUCCUCGUCACCCAGUGAGAGAGCAAUCAUCGGGUUGUAUCUGGCACUUGAAAGGUGAAAGUGCAACUAUCCCUAGGUGGUUUUGGUAAUUCAUAACAACAUAUAGCUCAUUGAGCUAAUGCUAUUCCAAAAUGAUUAUUUCAGGAAAGCUCAAUGAUUGGCAUGGCAUGGAUGUGAAAGUGGAACCCUCAAAAUGCUAAGGACAAAGGAUUGGCUCAAGCUCAAAAGCUCAAGACUCUUCAUCUUAUAUUUUAGUGAUCGAAGAUCACAUUGGGUCCAUAGGAAAAGCCAAUACUAUCAAGGAGGGAUGAGGUGUUGCUUAAUGAGCCUCUUGCUUCAUGUGCUUAGUGAUAUGCUCCAAAACCCUCAACUACUUUCCCAUAUCCACAUAUGACCUAAACCCUAAGCCAAACUCGGUCCUACUGAUUCUUCCUAUCCGGCACCAUCGAGUUUCACUUGUCAUUAGCCACUGCCAAACCCUAGCAAUUCGGUCCUACCGAUAGGGAUCUCGGUCUCACCGAGAUGGGGUUGCAAACUCUCUGUUUCCCUUUCGUAACUUUUCGGUCUUACCGAAAGAGCGAAUCGGUCCCACCGAGAUUGCAAUGUAAACUCAGUGUUUCCCCUUUGUAACUUUUCGGUCUCACCGAGUUCCACUCGGUCUCACCGAAAGAGCAAAUCGGUCCCACCGAGUUUGCCUGACCAACUCUCUGGUUAGCUAAUUACCAAAUUCGGUCUCACCGAGUUUGUGUAAUCGGUCUCACCGAGAUUACGUCAUGCCCAAACCCUAACCAUAUCGGCCCUACCAAGUUGCAUGUCAGUCCCACCGAAAAAUCACUAACGGUCACUAGGUUUACAUUUUCGGUCUGACCGAGCUUAUUGAUUCGGUCCCACCAAGAUUGGAAAACUGUGUAACGGUUGGAUUUUGUGUGGAGGCUAUAUAUACCCCUCCACCUCCUUCUCAUUCGAUGAGAGAGCCAUCAGAACACACACACCAUUCCAACUCAUAUGUUCUGAGAAAGAACCACCUACUCAUGUGUUGAGACCAAGACAUUCCAUUCCUACCAUAUGAAUCUUGAUCUCUAGCCUUGCCAAGUUGCUUUCCACUCAAACCCUCUUUCCACCAAAUCCAAAUCCUAUGGGAGAGAGUUGAGUGUUGGGGAGACUAUCAUUUGAAGCACAAGAUCAAGGAGUUCAUUACCUACACACCAUUUGUUACUUCUUGGAGAGUGGUGUCUCCUAGAUUGGCUAGGUGUCACUUGGGAGCCUCCGACAAGAUUGUGGAGUUGAACCAAUGAGUUUGUAAGGGCAAGGAGAUCGCCUACUUCGUGAAGAUCUACCGCUAGUGAGGCAAGUCCUGUGUGGGCGAUGGCCAUGGUGGGAUAGACAAGGUUGCUUCUUCGUGGACCCUUUGUGGGUGGUUGCUUCUUCGUGGACCUUUCGUGGGUGGAGCCCUGUGUGGACUCGCGCAACCGUUACCCUUCGUGGGUUGAAGUCUCCAUCAACGUGGAUGUAGGAUAGCACCACCUAUCCGAACCACGGGAAAAACAUCCGUGUCUCCAAUAGCGUUUGAAUUCUCCAAACCCUUCCCUUUACAUUCUCGCAAGUUGCAUGCUUUACUUUCCGCUGCCUAUAUACUCUUUGCAUGCUUGCUUGAAUUAUGUGACGAUUGCUUGACUUGUCCUAAAUUAGCUAAAAUCUGCCAAGAACUAAAAUUGGGAAAAGGUUAAGUUUUUAUUUGGUCAAGUAGUCUAAUCACCCCCCCUCUAGACAUACUUCCGAUCCUACAAGUGGUAUCAGAGCCUUGGUCUCCAUUUGCUUUGAUCUCCAUAGCUUUUGGUGGUCAUAGCCUUGGUUUCACAACCUAGGAAAGUAUGGCGUCUAGCGAGGGAAAUUAUCACCGUAGAGGUCCUUACUUUGAUGGUACUAACUUUGCUAGUUGGAAGCAUAAAAUGAAAAUGCAUAUUCUUGGACAUAACCCCGCCGUUUGGGCUAUUGUGUGUGUUGGUUUGCAAGGUGACUUCUUUGACGGGAGAGAACCAAACCGUGAAGCUACCGCGGAUGAGUUGAAGAUGUUGCAAUACAAUGCUCAAGCUUGUGAUAUUCUCUUCAAUGGAUUGUGCCCCAAAGAAUUCAACAAACAGCCGCCUUGAGAAUGCAAAGGAAAUUUGGGACACUUUGAUUGAUAUGCACGAAGGUACCGACUCCGUCAAGGAAUCCAAGUUGGAUGUACUUCAAAGCCAACUUGACAAGUUCAAGAUGAAGGAUGGUGAAGGUGUCGCUGAGAUGUACUCUAGGCUUGCUCUCAUCACAAAUGAGAUUGCCGGCUUAGGAAGUGAAGAGAUGACCGAUAGAUUCAUCAUCAAGAAGAUUCUAAGAUCCUUGGAUGGAAAAUAUGAUACCGUGUGCACAUUGAUCCAAAUGAUGCCCAACUACAAAGAUCUCAAGCCAACGGAGGUGAUUGGAAGAAUUGUUGCUCAUGAGAUGUCACUUAAGGAUAAAGAGGAACUUCACAACAAAUCAAGUAGUGCAUAUAAAGCCUCAUGUGAAGCCCCUACAUCAUCGAGUGAGAAACAAGACUUCAAUGAAGAAUUGAGCUUAAUGGUGAGGAACUUCAACAAGUUCUACAAGAGUAGAAGCAAAGAUAGAAGCUCCAAGUCUAGGUCCUACAAUGACAAAAGAUCUUCUAGUCGAGAGCGAAAUUGUUACAAUUGUGGAAGACCCGGACACUAUUCCAAUGAGUGUACGGCUCCCUACAAGAGAAGAGAAGAUUCUCCAAAAAGAAGAAGCAAAGAAUCAUCACCAAGAGAGAGAAGGAGUAGAGAUGAUCAUUAUGAACGAAGAUACUCACGGAGAAGCAAGGAUUCGGAAAGGAAGGAAAAAUCAUCAAGGAGCUACACAAGACGAAGACAUCAAGCUCAUGUUGGUGAAUGGGUAUCCGGCUCCGACUCCGACAGCCACUCCGAGAAAAGUUAUCACUCCGACUCCGAAGAUACUCAAGAUGAAGGUGUUGCCGGUCUAGCACUUGUGUCAACCAACUCCUACGACAUAUUUGACUCACCAAAUGAAGGAAUUGGAAGAUGCUUCAUGGCCAAAGGUCCUAAGGUAACACACCUCGAGUAUGUUGAUUUCAAUAGUGAUGAAGAUGACUUGUUAGGUGAUGAUUUGCUUGUUGACAACUCUAGUGAUGAAUACUAUGAUGAAGUGUCAAUUAAACAUGCUAAUCAAGAUAAAACGAAUGACAAUGAUAAGGAGAAGAUUGAGGCUCUAACUAAAGAACUAAAAACUCUUAAGUUAGCUCAUGACACUAUCUUCGAAGAUCAUCGAGAACUUUUAAGAGCUCAUGAGAAAUUAUGCUUUGAAAAGCUCAAUCUUGAGCAAGAGCAUGAGUUCUUAAAAGCAAUCAAUGAUGAUCUCCGUAGAAAAUUUCUUCUUACAUUGCCAAGCGUUUACUCUUAACCAGUUACAUGCCUCAAGUCAAGUCUAACAAGAAAGAUUCUUCCUCUAGCAGUAACAAUGAUCAUGUUAAAUCCAAUAUUGUUGCUUCUAGUAGUUCUCUUGAUUCCACUAAUGAUUCUCUUAGCCAAGUUACACUUGAGCAAGAAAAUAGUUUAUUGAAGGGAAUUAUAGAGAAAGGAGUGUACAAAAGCCUUGCCGGGAGUAAGCAAUUCGAGGAAAUUGUGCGCAAGCAAGGAAUGCACUGGAAGAAUCAAGGUGUUGGUUUUGAACAAAAGUUCAAUGCCAAUGGAGUUGAGUGGGAAGAAGAUCAAUACCCCAAGACAAAGUUUGUCCCUCAACAAGAGAAGUAUGAUACUUCUUUCAAGGGGACACAAGCUCAAGAUGAUCUUCCACCACAAGACUACAAGCAAAAAGGCAAGGACAAGCUUCAAGAGGAAAUUGAUGCAUUUGAAGAAGCUCCGAAGACCUUAGUCAAGUGGAUUCCCAAGACUACUUCAAGCUCCACUUCAUCAAGUACGACUACAACUCCAAGGAUUCCCAUCAAGAUGAUGUGGAUCCAAAGGAAGAAGAACUAGAGAGUUCUUGAGGGUGACUUCGCUAACAUACUUCACUCUUAUCAUUUUGGCAAGAACAAGUGCAAUCAACUUCCACAUCUUGCACUAGUUCAAGGAGUCACAAACCCUCUUGUUGGUAAGAAAGGGACAGGGUAACCUAAAAGUUUUCAUGGACAUCAUCUUUUGUGUGCAUCACUCUAUGUCUAUGGAUAUCCUUGUUUGUUCCUUGUGGGACUAACCCAUGUAGGUAUUGAAAGUGCAAUUCACUCAAAUGGAUAGCUCCAAGAGAUCUACAUCAACAUUGAGCAUCCAAAUCUUCAAUAUCUACAUGAAGUCAUCAUCGACAAAACCCAAGGUUAGUUCAUCCCUCUUAGGGGGGGUAUCACAUCUAGGGGGAGCUUUACUCUAAGACUUGAGCUAAAGCAACUCUAAAGAUGUGAACACAACAAUGCUUUAUGUAAAAGUGGUAACCCCACUUGGGCUUAAACGAUGAGUAUGACCUAUGAUCAAGUGUUCUCACUUGACUCCUAAGUCAAUAUACUCAUACAUAGAUGACCUAGUCAUCGCAAAUUGCUUGAUAGAUGCUAGUAUUGGUUGUGCAUGCCUUGCCACAUAUUUCUUUUGCCAUCUUAUUGUGUGAGCAUGCUGGUUGCAUAUUUUACUCGUUCGAGGACAUCCACUUAUUUUUUUAAUUGUUUGGUUUUAUUUCUUUUUGUCAAGUGGAUGGACAAGAAUGCCUAAGAACCUCCUCUAGCUAUCUAUGCUUUUCUCGUCUCAAACUCUAUUCAUGCUGCAUCACAAAAUUUGAUCAAGUCAGAUUCGAACCACUCUGUGUGAGGAGCGCUCGGAGUCCCCGAUUCGUCAUAGACUUAAACUUCCAAAACCUCUUUAUGAUUCUCGGUCUGACCGAUACUCCACUUUCGGUCCUACCGAGAUCAUUAAGUUGAUCUAGGUUUUCGAUCUCGGUGCAACCGAUUUGAACUUUUCGGUCACACCAAGUUUCAGUAACUGCACGCAGUUAUGAAUCUCGGUGCCACCGAGUCGUUCCACUCGAUCACACCGACAGGGUCGGGCUAUAUAUAGUCAUGGGCAAAAUUUGGAAAUUUCUCCGAAUCCCUUCGCCCGUGCGAUAGCCUGCUCUGCCCUCGAGGUCUCCGGAUCGUCUUCUCGCCGCCAGCAGCCUCCAGUCGCUGGUAUCCGUCGCCGUCAACGGGAAUUCUGCCCCGCCGUUGCCGCCGUAGAAAGUCCCCGCCGAACUAGGGUAUGGACUUGAUCUCUGUGCUAUUCCUCAAUCCGAUUCCUAGCACAUUGUGAUCAUAUUGAUUCUUGCCACGUUUGAGAAACUUCUAUCCAGUCAAAACACCCGUAGAUUAGGUUUGAUUCGAAAAUUCUAGGUUUAGGUUUCCGCCAAAACCAUCUCGGACCCACCGAGUUGAAAAACUCGGUCCCACCGAUUUGGCUUAUGCCAUUGCACAAGUGAGACUCGGUCUGACCGAGAAUUACUUAUCGGUGUGACCGAUUUUUGAAAUCAGUGAAACCCUAGCAGUCUCGGUGCCACCGAACUGUGACUCGGUCCUACCGAGUUCACUAGUUUAGGUUCCAAAACUGCUUCGGUAUCACCGAGUUUGAAAAUCGAUAGAUCCGAGAUGAUUUCAGUAGGAAACUAAAACUAAGUUUUUGGAUCAUUCUUUUUGGAAAAAUCUCUGCAUUUUGUGAUGCUCAUCCUUUCUACCUCAUCUAUAAUCUAUUCAUAGGGUCAGCAGUCAGUUUGCAGCAUGUCUAAUCAAAGUGAUAGCCAAAAUAUGUCAGAGCAGCAAGUGGUGAUGAGUGAGGGCACUAGUCCCUCCAGUUCAUCUGAUGAAGGCAGCAGGAGCACUCCUAGCAAUUUGCCAAAGGCUGCCACGAGACAAAGGAAGAAGAAAACUUCAGACUCUGAAGAUGAGGACUAUGUGGCAGAGGAAGAGGCCACUUCCAAGAGAAUUGAGCCAGCUCAAGGCACUAAGCCAGGUCUGAAAAUCAAAAGGCCAGCAGGCAGGCAGCCCAUGUCAAAGGCUAGAGCCUCAACUGAGAAGCCCACUCCCCAAGAGCCAGUUGCAGCUGAGGGCAAGAAAAGAAAGGAAAGGGUAAAGAAGACUGUUGCUAGAGUGCUUGGCAAAGCUUCCAUCAUGGAAGAAGAAGAGGAAGAAGAGGUAGUUGCACCAGCGCCCAAGACACCCAAGCUAAUGGGUGAUGCCAUAAGGUCAGGGGCUACUGCAUCUAAGCCCAAAGCUGCCUCCAAGCCAAAACCAAAGACGAAUACAAGGAGCAUUCCUGCAGCUGAAAAGAACAAGGCCCCAGUGCCUGAGACUGUUGCUGAAGAAGAAGAAGAAAAUGUCCUAAGAAAGCUAAAGCCCAAGAUCCCAGACCACAACGAUGCUCAUCCUGUGGCUGAGGACAUGAAGCUCAGGAGAGAUUCAGGGCUGAGAAAGUGGAGAGAAGCAGACCCGUAUGCUUCAAGGAGAAGAACUGCCGUGGACUACAGGUUUCACACCAAGGAGCAGCAGGAUUUCUAUGAGACUGUGCUGUUAGAUAAGAAGCCCAUUGUCUGUGAUAUGCGUUGGGUUGAUUGGACAUACAUCAAGGACAAUGAGGAGCACUAUCCUGGCGUGCAAGACAGCUUCAUAGCUUGUGGAGUGGCCGACUUUGUUGGGCAGAAGCUCACAAAGUGGAACGAGGAGCUUAUCAUGCAGUUCUACUCCACGGCUCACUUUUAUCCAGAUGGGAGGAUCACAUGGAUGUCUGAGGGUACAAGGUACCAAUCUACAGUGGCUGAGUGGGCACAGAUCAUUAAUGCCCCAGAGGAGCAAGAUGAAGACUUGGAUAUCUAUGCCAAGAAGAAGAUGGACCACAACUCCAUGUCCAAUAUGUGCAAGGAAAUUCCCAAUGAAGCUCUUGACACCUUCAAGUUUGGCUCUGUGCAUUACCUUCUGUCAGGACUCCCGAUGAUCAAUUGGAUACUAAGGCACACCUUACUGCCCAUGUCUGGAGAUCACAAGAUGAUCAGAGGCCAUGCUAUCAACUUGCUCCAUGUGUUUGAUGUGCCUCAGAAGUUCAAGGUGAUGAGCCUCAUAGUGGAAACUAUCAAGAGGACUGCAGCAGACCAGAAGAGGAGCUGCGGAUAUGCCCCUCAGAUUCAGGAGCUCAUCAACUCCAAGAUGGGCACGGGCAUAUAUUUAUUAGACAAGGAACAUUUGCCCAUCCGUCCAGAUUUCGAGGACAAUCAAGUUGUCAUGACUGAGAAUGAGCCAUCAUCUGCCCAAGCAUUUGCAAAGAAGGAGAAGGCAAGGAAGGAGAAAGCUGCCAAGAUGCCUACCCAAGAGGAGGCAUCUGAAUACUUCUUGAAGACUAAACAAGAGCAGCUUAGUUACUUGAUUGCAUCCACGCUGAGGAUUGAGCAAAGUCUGGCCACUCUCACUCAGAAUCAGCAGAGCCUAGAGAGAAUCAUGGAACAGAAGUUCUAUGACUUGGAUGUCAAGGUAACAGAAGUUCAGUCUGCAGUGGAGCAGCUCCAGGAGGACAUGCGGGAGAGGAGAGGCAGGACUACCACUCAUACCUUUGCCAGAGUGCCACGAGGCCCGAGGUCAUCUGCCGUGCCAGUUGCUGACACCAGAGCCACCACUUCAGCACCAGCUACAGCCUCAAUUCCACCAGCUCCAGCAUCUACUUCAGCUCCAACUCCAGCGUCUACUUCAGCAUCUACCGAAGCCUUCGUCCUUGGAGUGAUCCGGACUCCACCACCACCAGAAGAUCAAGCCUGAGCGUCGAUCUAGUGCUAUGCAUUUUCUAGGAACUUUUUGGUAACUUGUUGCCAAAGGGGGAGAAGAUGUAUAGAUCAUAGGCUUCGAGAGAGAGAGUGUUGCUUUUCUCUCUUGCUUUAUUUGGUGGUUUUUCGAACUUGUCUGCUUUUGAGUACUAUGCUUGUGAGACAUUGAUGAUCAUGUGUUUGAUCAUAAGCUACACUUAAUGCUUGCUUAAUGCUAUUAUCUUAUCUAUCUUGUGAUCAUUCAUUAUUCUUGGUGAUGAGUGCAUGUAUUUCAUUCUUAUCAUUUUGAGCGCUCCACCAAGAUGUAUGUGACAUGGAAGAGUAACCCAUGACUCUAACUCUUUGUGCAUUUGCAGUCCAAAGCAAAUUUUAAAUAUGCACAAAUUUAGGGGGAGCUCUUACUUAUCACAUACUUCUCAAAGCGACGAUAUAAUUCUUGCUUAUUAUCAUUUGUCGAAGCUUUGAUCUAUAUGUUGUCAUCAAUUACCAAAAAGGGGGAGAUUGAAAGUGCAACUAUCCCUAGGUGGUUUUGGUAAUUCAUAACAACAUAUAGCUCAUUGAGCUAAUGCUAUUCCAAGAUGAUUAUUUCAGGAAAGCUCAAUGAUUGGCAUGGCAUGGAUGUGAAAGUGGAACCCUCAAAAUGCUAAGGACAAAGGAUUGGCUCAAGCUCAAAAGCUCAAGACUCUUCAUCUUAUAUUUUAGUGAUCCAAGAUCACAUUGAGUCCAUAGGAAAAGCCAAUACUAUCAAGGAGGGAUGAGGUGUUGCUUAAUGAGCCUCUUGCUUCAUGUGCUUAGUGAUAUGCUCCAAAACCCUCAACUACUUUCCCAUAUCCACAUAUGACCUAAACCCUAAGCCAAACUCGGUCCAACCGAUUCUUCCUAUCCGGCACCAUCGAGUUUCACUUGUCAUUAGCCACUGCCAAACCCUAGCAAUUCGGUCCUACCGAUAGGGAUCUCGGUCUCACCGAGAUGGGGUUGCAAACUCUCUGUUUCCCUUUCGUAACUUUUCAGUCUUACCGAAAGAGCGAAUCGGUCCCACCGAGAUUGCAAUGUAAACUCAGUGUUUCCCCUUUGUAACUUUUCGGUCUCACCGAGUUCCACUCGGUCUCACCGAAAGAGCAAAUCGGUCCCACCGAGUUUGCCUGACCAACUCUCUGGUUAGCUAAUUACCAAAUUCGGUCUCACCGAGUUUGUGUAAUCGGUCUCACCGAGAUUACGUCAUGCCCAAACCCUAACCAUAUCGGUCCUACCGAGUUGCAUGUCAGUCCCACCGAAAAAUCACUAACGGUCACUAGGUUUACAUUUUCGGUCCGACCGAGCUUAUUGAUUCGGUCCCACCGAGAUUGGAAAACUGUGUAACGGUUGGAUUUUGUGUGGAGGCUAUAUAUACCCCUCCACCUCCUUCUCAUUCGAUAAGAGAGCCAUCAGAACACACACACCACUCCAACUCAUAUGUUCUGAGAAAGAACCACCUACUCAUGUGUUGAGACCAAAACAUUCCAUUCCUACCAUAUCAAUCUUGAUCUCUAGCCUUCCCAAGUUGCUUUCCACUCAAACCCUCUUUCCACCAAAUCCAAAUCCUAUGAGAGAGAGUUGAGUGUUGGGGAGACUAUCAUUUGAAGCACAAGAGCAAGGAGUUCAUUACCUACACACCAUUUGUUACUUCUUGGAGAGUGGUGUCUCCUAGAUUGGCUAGGUGUCACUUGGGAGCCUCCGACAAGAUUGUGGAGUUGAACCAAGGAGUUUGUAAGGGCAAGGAGAUCGCCUACUUCGUGAAGAUCUACCGCUAGUGAGGCAAGUCCUGUGUGGGCGAUGGCCAUGGUGGGAUAGACAAGGUUGCUUCUUCGUGGACCCUUUGUGGGUGGUUGCUUCUUCGUGGACCCUUCGUGGGUGGAGCCCUGUGUGGACUUGCGCAACCGUUGCCCUUGGGUGGAGCCCUGUGUGGACUCGCGCAACCGUUACCCUUCGUGGGUUGAAGUCUCCAUCAAUGUGGAUGUAGGAUAGCACCACCUAUCCGAACCACGGGAAAAACAUCCGUGUCUCCAAUAGCGUUUGAAUUCUCCAAACCCUUCCCUUUACAUUCUCGCAAGUUGCAUGCUUUACUUUCCGCUGCCUAUAUACUCUUUGCAUGCUUGCUUGAAUUAUGUGACGAUUGCUUGACUUGUCCUAAAUUAGCUAAAAUCUGCCAAGAACUAAAAUUGGGAAAAGGUUAAGUUUUUAUUUGGUCAAGUAGUCUAAUCACCCCCCCCCCUCUAGACAUACUUCCGAGCCUACAAAAGGGUGUGUUUUAUUAAGUAUCUAGUUCUAGUUGUCAUAAGGUCAAGGUACAACUCCGGGUCGUCCUUUUACCGAGGGACACGGCUAUUUGAAUAGAUAACUUCCCUGCAGGGGUGCACCACAUUUCCCAACACGCUCGAUGUUGGAAAUAUGCCCUAGAGGAAAUAAUAAAAUGGUUAUUAUUAUAUUUAUUUGUUCAUGAUAAUUGUCUAUUGUUCAUGCUAUAAUUGUGUUAUCCGGAAAUCGUAAUACAUGUGUGAAUACAUAGACCACAACACGUCCCUAGUGAGCCUCUAGUUGACUAGCUCGUUGAUCAAAAAUAGUCAUGGUUUCCUGACUAUGGACAUUGGAUGUCAUUGAUAACGGGAUCACAUCAUUAGGAGAAUGAUGUGAUGGACAAGACCCAAUCCUAAGCUUAGCUCAAAGAUCAUGUAGUUCGUUUGCUGUAGCUUUUCUGAAUGUCAAGUAUCAUUUCCUUAGACCAUGAGAUUGUGCAACUCCCGUAUGCCGUAGGAGUGCCUUGGGUGUGCCAAACGUCACGACGUAACUGGGUGACUAUAAAGGUACAUUACAGGUAUCUCCGAAAGUGUCUGUUGGGUUGGCACGAAUCGAGACUGGGAUUUGUCACUCCGUAUGACGGAGAGGUAUCUCUGGGCCCACUCGGUAAUGCAUCAUCAUAAUGAGCUCAAUGUGAUCAAGUGGCUGAUCACGGGAUCAUGCAUUAUGAUACGAGUAAAGUGACUUGCCGGUAACGAGACUGAACAAGGUAUUGGGAUACCGAUGAUCGAGUCUCGGGCAAGUAACAUACCGAUUGACAAAGGGAAUUGUAUACGGAUUGAUUGAAUCCUCGACAUCGUGGUUCAUCCGAUGAGAUCAUCGUGGAGCAUGUGGGAGCCAACAUGGGUAUCCAGAUCCCGCUGUUGGCUAUUGACCGGAGAGUCGUCUCGGUCAUGUCUACAUGUCUCCCGAACCCGUAGGGUCUACACACUUAAGGUUCGGUGACGCUAGGGUUGUUAGGAAGACUUGUAUGUGAUUAACAAAUGUUGUUCGGAGUCCUGGAUGAGAUCCCGGACGUCACGAGGAGUUCCGGAAUGGUCCGGAGGUAAAGAUUUAUAUAUGGGAAGUUGUCAUACGGUCGCCGGAAAGGUUCGGGGGUAUAUCGGUAUUGUACCGGAGCCACCGGAGGGGUUCUGGGGGUCCAUCGGGAGGGGCCACCUCCUCCGGAGGGCCUUAUGGUCUGUAUGGCGAAGGGAACCAGCCCAAGUGGGCUGGGGCGCCACACCCCCUAGGGCCCAUGCGCCUAGGGUUGGGGGAAACCCUAAGGGGGGCGCCCCCUUGCUUGGGGNNNNNNNNNNNNNNNNNNNNNNNNNNNNNNNNNNNNNNNNNNNNNNNNNNNNNNNNNNNNNNNNNNNNNNNNNNNNNNNNNNNNNNNNNNNNNNNNNNNNNNNNNNNNNNNNNNNNNNNNNNNNNNNNNNNNNNNNNNNNNNNNNNNNNNNNNNNNNNNNNNNNNNNNNNNNNNNNNNNNNNNNNNNNNNNNNNNNNNNNNNNNNNNNNNNNNNNNNNNNNNNNNNNNNNNNNNNNNNNNNNNNNNNNNNNNNNNNNNNNNNNNNNNNNNNGAGGGGUGAGGGGAGGGCUGCAUACAACAUCCAAGGCGCAGCCCCUCCCCUCCCCAACACCUCUCCUCCUCCAUAAGAGCUUGGCGAAGCCCUGCCGGAGUACUGCAGCUUCAUCACCACCACGCCGUCGUGCUGCUGUUGGAGCCCUCUUCCUCAACCUCUCCCUCCUCCUUGCUGGAUCAAAGCGCGGGAGACGUCCUCGCUCCGUACGUGUGUUGAACGCGGAGGUGCCGUCCGUUCGGCGCUAGGAUCUUCCGUGAUUUGGAUCACGUCGAGUACGACUCCAUCAACCCCGUUCUCUUGAACGCUUCCGCUCGUGAUCUACAAGGGUAUGUAGAUGCACUCCUCUCUCCCUCGUUGCUAGAUGACUCCAUAUAUUGAUCUUGGUGAUGCGUAGAAAAUUUUAAAAUUCUGCUACGUUCCCCAACAGUGGCAUCAUGAGCUAGGUCUAUGCGUAGUUACUAUGCAUGAGUAGAACUAAGGAUGGCAAUUUUACCCAUGGACAUGGAUACCCAUGGAUAUCCAACCCGAAUGGAUAGGGUUUGGAUAUGCUUUUGCGCCCAUGGGCGGCACCCAAACCCGACCCGAUUUCUUGUGGGUAGGGCAUGGAUAUAAUCUUGUACCCAUGGGUGUACCCAAACCCGACCCGAUAGUAUGACUUAGUGGGCAAAAAACCGUUAUCCCUACCCCACAAUCACAUGUCUCACCGCAAUUUUUAACUUAUUUUUUAUCUAAACCAUGCAAAAAAAUUGCACAAUCCAUGUCAUAACUUCUAUUAGUUGAUAUUCAAUCCCCACCGUAACAUACUCCAAUGCCCCUUCCCUUAUUUCAUCUCCUCGUUAAAUGACUCACCAUUCUCAUAUUUUAGAAAAAUAAUAAAUGAUAUUAGGUUGUUAGGGACGUUGAUUUACAUAAGUUGAUGUUUACCAUAAGUCAAGCCUAGCUUACCACGAAAUGAAGAAUGAAAGAGCUUAUAUUAACAUUUUACCAUGUCUUAUCUAUAUGUCUUGAGAGGACCCAGUGGAUAUCCAAUGGGUAUGGAUAUCCAUUGGGUUUGGACGUGGACAUAAUUUUUUACCCAUGGAUCUUUUCAUGUAUAGGCAAAGACUGUCUUUAUGGAUAUGGAUAUGGAUUUGGUAUUGUUCAACCCGAUCCAAACCCGACCCAUUGCCAUCCUUAAGUAGAACACAAAGUAGUUGUGGGCGUCGAUAUUGUCAAUUUGCUUGCCGUUACUAGUCUUAUCUUGAUUCGGCGGCAUCGUGGGAUGAAGCGGCCCGGACCAACCUUACACGUACGCUUACGUGAGACCGGUUCCACCGACUGACAUGCACUAGUUGCAUAAGGUGGCUGGCGGGUGUCUGUCUCUCCCACUUUAGUCGGAUCGGAUUCAAUGAACAGGGUCCUUAUGAAGGGUAAAUAGAAAUUGGCAAUUCACGUUGUGGUUUUGGCGUAGGUAAGAAACGUUCUUGCUAGAAACCUAUAGCAGCCACAUAAAAACUUGCAACAACAAUUAGAGGACGUCUAACUUGUUUUUGCAGCAAGUGUUUUGUGAUGUGAUAUGGCCAAAGGAUGUGAUGAAUGAUAUAUGUGAUGUAUGAGAUGAUCAUGUUCUUGUAGUAGGAAUCACGACUUGCAUGUCGAUGAGCAUGACAACCGGCAGGAGCCAUAGGAGUUGUCUUUAUUUAUUUAUGACCUGCGUGUCAACAUAAACGUCAUGUAAUUACUUUACUUUAUUGCUAAAGUGUUAGCCAUAGUAGUAGAAGUAAUAGAUGAUGAGACAACUUCAAGAAGACAUGAUGAUGGAGAUCAUGGUGUCAUGCCGGUGACAACGAUGAUCAUGGAGCCCCGAAGAUGGAGAUCAAAGGAGCAAAUGAUAUUGGCCAUAUCAUGUCACUAUUUUAUUGCAUGUGAUGUUUAUCAUGUUUUACAUCUUAUUUGCUUAGAACGACGGUAGCUUAAAUAAGAUGAUCCCUCGUAAAAAUUUCAAGAAAGUGUUCCCCCUAACUGUGCACCGUUGCGAAGGUUCGUUGUUUCGAAGCACCACGUGAUGAUCGGGUGUGAUAGAUUCUAACGUUCGAAUACAAUGGGUGUAAGCCAGAUUACACACGCAAUACACUUAGGUUGACUUGACGAGCCUAGCAUGUACAGACGUGGCCUCGGAACACAGAAGACCGAAAGGUCGAGCAUGAGUCGUAUAGAAGAUACGAUCAACAUGAAGAUGUUCACCGAUGUUGACUAGUCCGUCUCACGUGAUGAUCGGACACGGCCUAGUUAACUCGGAUCAUGUUAUACUUAGAUGACUAGAGGGAUGUCUAUCUGAGUGGGAGUUCAUUGAAUAAUUUGAUUAGAUGAACUUAAUUAUCAUGAACUUAGUCUAAAAUCUUUACAAUAUGUCUUGUAGAUCAAAUGGCCCACGUUGUCCUCAACUUCAACGCGUUCCUAGAGAAAACCAAGCUGAAAGAUGAUGGCGGCAACUAUACGGACUGGGUCCAGAACCUGAUCAUCCUCAUAGCUGCCAAGAAAGAUUAUGUCCUAGAAGCACCGCUAGGUGACGCACCCGUCCCACAGAACCAAGACGUUAUGAAUGCUUGGCAGACACGUGCUGAUGAUUACUCCCUCGUUCAGUGCGGCAUGCUUUACAGCUUAGAACCGGGGCUCCAAAAGCGUUUUGAGAGACACGGAGCAUAUGAGAUGUUUGAAGAGCUGAAAAUGGUUUUUCAAGCUCAUGCCCGGGUCGAGAGAUAUGAAGUCUCCGACAAGUUCUACAGCUGUAAGAUGGAGGAAAAUAGUUCUGUCAGUGAGCACAUACUCAAAAUGUCUGGGUUGCAUAACCGCUUGACUCAGCUGGGAGUUAAUCUCCCGGAUGACGCGGUCAUCGACAGAAUCCUUCAGUCGCUUCCACCGAGCUACAAGAGCUUUGUGAUGAACUUCAAUAUGCAGGGGAUGGAAAAGACCAUUCCUGAGGUAUAUUCAAUGCUGAAAUCAGCAGAGGUAGAAGUCAAAAAGGAACAUCAAGUGUUGAUGGUGAAUAAAACCACUAAGUUCAAGAAAGGCAAGGGUAAGAAGAACUUCAAGAAGGACGGCAAGGGAGUUGCCGCGCCCGGUAAGCAAGCUGCCGGGAAGAAGCCAAAGAAUGGACCCAAGCCCGAGACUGGGUGUUUUUAUUGCAAGGGAAGUGGUCACUGGAAGCGGAACUGCCCCAAAUACUUAGCGGACAAGAAGGCCGGCAUCACGAAAGAUAUAUGUGAUAUACAUGUAAUUGAUGUGUACCUUACCAGUACUCGUAGUAGCUCCUGAGUAUUUGAUACCGGUGCGGUUGCUCACAUUUGUAACUCAAAGCAGGAGCUGCGGAAUAAACGGAGACUGGCGAAGGACGAGGUGACAAUGCGCGUCGGGAAUGGUUCCAAGGUCGAUGUGAUCGCCGUCGGCACGCUGCCUCUACAUUUACCUACGGGAUUAGUUUUAAACCUCAAUAAUUGUUAGUUAGUGCUAGCUUUGAGCAUGAACAUUGUAUCAGGAUCUCGUUUAAUACGAGAUGGCUACUCAUUUAAAUCCGAGAAUAAUGGUUGUUCUAUUUAUAUGAGAGAUAUGUUUUAUGGUCAUGCUCCGAUGGUGAAUGGUUUAUUCUUGAAUCUCGAGCGUAAUGCUACACAUAUUCAUAGUGUGAAUACCAAAAGAUGUAAGGUUGAUAAUGAUAGUCUCGCAUACUUGUGGCACUGCCGCCUUGGUCACAUAGGUGUCAAACGCAUGAAGAAGCUCCAUGCAGAUGGACUUUUAGAGUCUCUUGAUUACGAAUCAUUUGACACGUGCGAACCAUGCCUCAUGGGUAAAAUGACCAAGACUCCGUUCUCAGGAACAAUGGAGCGAGCAACCAACUUAUUGGAAAUCAUACAUACUGAUGUGUGCGGUCCAAUGAGUGUUGAGGCUCGCGAUGGCUAUCGUUAUGUUCUCACCCUCACUGAUGACUUGAGUAGAUAUGGGUAUGUCUACUUAAUGAAACACAAGUCUGAGACCUUUGAAAAGUUCAAGGAAUUUUAGAGUGAGGUUGAGAAUCAACGUGACAGGAAAAUCAAGUUCUUGCGAUCAGAUCGUGGGGGAGAAUACCUGAGUCACGAAUUUGGCACACACUUAAGAAAAUGUGGAAUAGUUUCACAACUCACGCCGCCUGGAAUACCUCAGCGUAAUGGUGUGUCCAAACGUCGUAAUCGCACUCUAUUAGAUAUGGUGCGAUCUAUGAUGUCUCUUACCGAUUUACCGCUAUCAUUUUGGGGCUAUGCUUUAGAGACGGCCGCAUUCACUUUAAAUAGGGCUCCGUCGAAAUCCGUUGAGACGACACCGUAUGAAUUAUGGUUUGGGAAGAAACCUAAGCUAUCGUUUCUAAAAGUUUGGGGAUGUGAUGCUUAUGUCAAGAAACUUCAACCUGAAAAGCUCGAACCCAAAUCGGAAAAAUGCGUCUUCAUAGGAUACCCUAAAGAAACUGUUGGGUAUACCUUCUACCUCAGAUCCGAAGGCAAGAUCUUCGUUGCCAAGAAUGGGUCCUUUCUAGAGAAAGAGUUUCUCUCGAAAGAAAUAAGUGGGAGGAAGGUAGAACUUGAUGAAGUAUUACCUCUUGAAUCGGUAAGUGGCGCAGCUCAAGAAAAUGUUCCUGAGGUGUGUGCACCGACUAGAGAGGAAGUUGAUGAUGAUGAUCAUGAAACUUCAGAUCAAGUUGCUACUGAACUUCGUAGGUCCACAAGGACACAUUCCGCACCAGAGUGGUACGGCAACCCUGUCUUGGAAAUCAUGUUGUUAGACAACGGUGAACCUUCGAACUAUGAAGAAGCGAUGGCGGGCCCGGAUUCCGACAAAUGGCUGGAAGCCAUGAAAUCCUAGAUAGGAUCCAUGUAUGAAAACGAAGUAUGGACUUUGACUGACUUGCCCGUUGAUCGGCGAGCCAUAGAAAAUAAAUGGAUCUUUAAGAAGAAGACAGACGCGGAUGGUAAUGUGACCAUCUAUAAAGCUCGGCUUGUCGCUAAGGGUUAUCGACAAGUUCAAGGGGUUGACUAUGAUGAGACUUUCUCACCCGUAAUGAAGCUGAAGUCCAUCCGAAUCAUGUUAGCAAUUGCCGCAUUCUAUGAUUAUGAGAUAUGGCAAAUGGACGUCAAAACGGCAUUCCUUAAUGGUUUCCUUAAGGAAGAAUUGUAUAUGAUGCAGCCAGAAGGUUUUGUCGAUCCUAAGAAUGCUGACAAGGUGUGCAAGCUCCAACGCUUGAUUUAUGGGCUGGUGCAAGCAUCUCGGAGUUGGAACAUUCAUUUUGAUGAGAUGAUCAAAGCGUUUGGGUUUAUGCAGACUUAUGGAGAAGCCUGCAUUUACAAGAAAGUGAGUGGGAGCUCUGUAGCAUUUCUCAUAUUGUAUGUGGAUGACAUACUGUUGAUGGGAAAUGAUAUAGAAUUCUUAGAAAGCAUAAAGGCCUACUUGAACAAGUGUUUUUCAAUGAAGGACCUUGGAGAAGCUGCUUAUAUAUUAGGCAUCAAGAUCUAUAGAGAUAGAUCGAGACGCCUCAUUGGUCUUUCACAAAGUACGUACCUUGACAAGAUAUUGAAGAAGUUCAAAAUGGAUCAGUCAAAGAAGGGGUUCUUGCCUGUAAUGCAAGGUACGAGAUUGAACACGGCUCAAUGCCCGACCACGGCAGAAGAUAGAGAAAAGAUGAGUGUCGUCCCCUAUGCCUCGGCCAUAGGGUCUAUCAUGUAUGCUAUGUUGUGUACCAGACCUGAUGUAAACCUUGCCGUAAGUUUGGUAGGAAGGUACCAAAGUAAUCCCGGCACGGAACACUGGACAGCGGUCAAGAAUAUCCUGAAGUACCUGAAAAGGACCAAGGAAAUGUUUCUCGUUUAUGGAGGUGACGAAGAGCUCGUCGUAAAGGGUUACGUCGAUGCUAGAUUCGACACAGAUCUGGAUGACUCUAAGUCACAAACCGGAUAUGUGUAUAUUUUGAAUGGUGGGGCAGUAAGCUGGUGCAGUUGCAAGCAAAGCGUUGUGGCGGGAUCUACAUGUGAAGCGGAGUACAUGGCAGCCUCGGAGGCAGCACAAGAAGCAGUUUGGGUGAAGGAGUUCAUUACCGACCUAGGAGUCAUACCCAAUGCGUCGGGCCCGAUGACUCUCUUCUGUGACAACACUGGAGCUAUUGCCCUUGCCAAGGAGCCCAGGUUUCACAGGAAGACCAGGCAUAUCAAGCGUCGCUUCAACUCCAUUCGUGAAAGUGUUCAAAAUGGAGACAUAGAGAUUUGUAAAGUACAUACGGACCUGAAUGUAGCAGAUCCGUUGACUAAACCUCUCCCUAGAGCAAAACAUGAUCAACAUCAGAACUGCAUGGGUGUUCGAUUCAUCACAAUGUAACUAGAAUAUUGACUCUAGUGCAAGUGGGAGACUGUUGGAAAUAUGCCCUAGAGGCAAUAAUAAAAUGGUUAUUAUUAUAUUUCUUUGUUCAUGAUAAUUGUCUAUUGUUCAUGCUAUAAUUGUGUUAUCCGGAAAUCGUAAUACAUGUGUGAAUACAUAGACCACAACACGUCCCUAGUGAGCCUCUAGUUGACUAGCUCGUUGAUCAAAAGAUAGUCAUGGUUUCCUGACUAUGGACAUUGGAUGUCAUUGAUAACGGGAUCACAUCAUUAGGAGAAUGAUGUGAUGGACAAGACCCAAUCCUAAGCUUAGCUCAAAGAUCAUGUAGUUCGUUUGCUGUAGCUUUUCUGAAUGUCAAGUAUCAUUUCCUUAGACCAUGAGAUUGUGCAACUCCCGGGUGCCGGGUGCCUUGGGUGUGCCAAACAUCACAACGUAACUGGGUGACUAUAAAGGUACAUUACAGGUAUCUCCGAAAGUGUCUGUUGGGUUGGCACGAAUUGAGACUGGGAUUUGUCACUCCGUAUGACGGAGAGGUAUCUCUGGGCCCACUCGGUAAUGCAUCAUCAUAAUGAGCUCAAUGUGAUCAAGUGGCUGAUCACGGGAUCAUGCAUUAUGAUACGAGUAAAGCAACUUGCCGGUAACGAGACUGAACAAGGUAUUGGGAUACCAAUGAUCGAGUCUCGGGCAAGUAACAUACCGAUUGACAAAGGGAAUUGUAUACGGAUUGAUUGAAUCCUCGACAUCGUGGUUCAUCCGAUGAGAUCAUCGUGGAGCAUGUGGGAGCCAACAUGGGUAUCCAGAUCCCGUUGUUGGCUAUUGACCGGAGAGUCGUCUCGGUCAUGUCUACAUGUCUCCCGAACCCGUAGGGUCUACACACUUAAGGUUCGGUGACGCUAGGGUUGUUAGGAAGACUUGUAUGUGAUUACUGAAUGUUGUUCGGAGUCCCGGAUGAGAUCCCGGACGUCACGAGGAGUUCCGAAAUGGUCUGGAGGUAAAUAUUUAUAUAUGGGAAGUUGUCAUACGGUCGCCGGAAAGGUUCGGGGGUAUAUCGGUAUUGUACCGGGGCCACCGGGAGGGGCCACCUCUUCCGGAGGGCCUUAUGGGCUGCAUGGAGAAGGGAACCAGCCCAAGUGGGCUGGGGCACCACACCCCCCUAGGGCCCAUGCGCCUAGGGUUGGGGGAAAUCCUAAGGGGGGGCGCCCCCUUGCUUGAGGGCAAGCCCCCCUCCCCUUGGCCGACCCCCCCCCUCUAGAUCUCAUCUAGAGGGGGCCGGCCCCCUUCCCCCUUCCCCUAUAAAUAGAGGGGUGAGGGGAGGGCUGCAUACAACAUCCAAGGCGCAGCCCCUCCCCUCCCCAACACCUCUCCUCCUCCAUAAGAGCUUGGCGAAGCCCUGCCGGAGUACUGCAGCUUCAUCACCACCACGUCGUCGUGCUGCUGUUGGAGCCCUCUUCCUCAACCUCUCCCUCCUCCUUGCUGGAUCAAGGCGCGGGAGACGUCCUCGCUCCGUACAUGUGUUGAACACGGAGGUGACGUCCGUUCGGCGCUAGGAUCUUCGGUGAUUUGGAUCACGUCGAGUACGACUCCAUCAACCCCGUUCUCUUGAACGCUUUCGCUCGUGAUCUACAAGGGUAUGUAGAUGCACUCCUCUCUCCCUCGUUGCUAGAUGACUCCAUAGAUUGAUCUUGGUGAUGCGUAGAAAAUUUUAAAAUUCUGCUGCGUUCCCCAACACUCGAUCCCUCUGGCCGGACACACUUUCCUGGGUCAUGCCCGGCCUCGGAAGAUCAACAUGUCACAGCCCUACCCAGGCACAACAGAGAGGUCGGCACGCCGGUCUAAAUCCUAUGCGCGCAAGGAUCUGGGCCCAUCGCCCAUUGCACACCUGCACGUUGCGUACGUGGCCGGAAGCAAACCUAGCCCCCUUAAUACAAGCGCAGGCUUACGGUCCAAUCCGGCGCGCGCCGCUCAGUCGCUAACAUCAAGAAGGCUUCGGCUGAUACCACGACGUCGAGUGCCCAUAAUUGUUCCCGUGUAGUUGGUUAGUGCGUAUAGGCCAGUGGCCAAACUCGGAUCAAAUACCAAGAUCUCGUUAAGCGUGUUAAUUGAUGUACCGCGGACGCCGACCAGGGCCAGGCCCACCUCUCUCCUAGGUGGUCUUAGCCUGCCCUGCCGCUCCGCCACAAAGUAACAGUCGGGGGCCGUCGGGAACCCAGGCCCAGCACUACCUGGGUGGAACCACCUGCCCCUUCAGCCCCAUCUCUGAAUCAUAAUCAUAAGUAUGUAAUAGUAUAGUAUAUACCCGUGAUCACCUUUCGAGUGAUAACGGCCUAGUAAUAUAGCAUGGCAGACGGAGAAAAGUGUAGGGCCACUGAUGAUAAACUAGCAUCCUAUACUAAGCAUUUAGGAUUGUAGGUAAAGGUAACAACAGAAGUGACAAGGAUAGGCUAUGCAGUAGAAUAGGUUCAUCCAAAAGCAGUAACAACUACACUACUCUAAUGCAAGCAGUAGAGGGAAAGAGUAGGCGAUAUCGGGAUGAACAAGGGGGGAGGGGCUUUCCUGGAAGCUCUAUAGACAGAUACUGAUCCUCGACAUGGUGAAGUAGUCGAUCGUCGGAUCAACAGCGGUCUCGGCGUGGCGGCGUCUAUCAGAAAAAGAAGUAAUGGAGGGGGAACACAAUAAAUAACAGAGUAAUCAAUUGCAUCACAAAUCAAGACAUGGCAAUACGCUAGGCUAGGGGUGACGUAACGUAGUACUAUGCGAUACAGGCGAAGGGGGAAACAUCCGGGAAUGUUUUCCCGGAGUUUGGCAUUUUCUGAACAGAUGAAAGCGGGGGAAAGAUUCCAUGUUCAUCACGCUAUAUGCACAUGACAGAUGAAUGGAGUGCAUAUUCGGAUUCGUCUUAUUUUUUGAUCAUUUUUCAUAUGUAAAUUAUUUCCAUCCGAGUUACAGAUUAUUUUAUAUGGAUUUUCAAAGUUUUAACAAUUUUCUGGAUUUUCUAGAAUCGUUUUAAAUUCGAGUAUUAAAUUCUAAAGUGCAGUCAACCUAGUCAACUUUUAACUAAGCCAAUAGGACAGUGUGGCUUGACUUUGUAAAAACAAGUCAAAUACAAACGCAACAUAAACAUAAUCAUUUACAAUCAAUUCACGGAAAACAUCCUUCAAAUAGCUCGCCUAAGUUCUUAAUUGCAUUUGUUUUUUGCCCCUUUGCGGAUUAUUCGUAAGAUAUGUUGUUCAUAAGUUGCUUCGUUUCUUGGCUCCAGUUGGGAUUUACGUCAAGAGUGCAACGGGUCAUCUAGUACUACUAAAACAGGAAAGCGCAUGAGAGGGGUCCCUCACUGUACUCACCGCCGGCUAGUCCGGAGGGAGAGGGGAGGGGCCAAAAAAAAUGGAUCUAGGAGGAGAGUGGGUAGGGGACGCGGGUGGAAGAGAACCACUAUUCUUCCAUAUGAUUCAAAGUCCUAUGCUCUAUAUGGAACAUAGGAUUUUUCACAUAAGAAAUCACCAUAUGGAAAAUGUUCAUAUGGGGCUCUUUGGAUUGUAGAAUUGCUUUCAAAAUUCCUAUAGGAAUCCUUCCUUUCCUCUGCAUUUUGGAGGAUUCUAAACAUUUGCUUAAAUCCCAUGUUUUCGCUUCCUUUUGACAAAUCCAAUGAUAUGUAUUUUUUUUCUCUCAUCUUCUAUCUCGCUUGGAAAAAAAAUCAUGCAAAAUUCCUAUGGAGCAUCCGAACAACUAUGUAUGGAACUAUGGUGAUUAAAUUCUUGUAUGGACAUGACAUCCAUUUCCUAUUCCUACAUUUUUUCCCAUGUUUUCCAAUCCCGUGUUACAAACAGGCCUUUAAGACGUACUCCCUCCGUUCCAUAUUAGUUGUCUCUGAAAUGGAUGUAUCUAGAUGUAUUUGAGUGCUAGAUACAUCCGUUUGAGCGACAACUAAUAUGGAACGGAGGGAGUAGGAAAUAUAUAGGAAUUUUGCCUUUGAUUUGAGUUUCAAGGAAAAAACAAAGAAAUUUUACAAUCCACCCAAACAAUUUUGUUUGCAUUCAAGUGCACAAAGGACAAGGCAAACGUCAUACGUUGCAUAAUGUUUGCAAGCCUAAGAUUUUUGGCGGCUUGGGUGUGCUUAAUCUCGAGAAGUUUGCGACCGCCCUUCGUCUUCGCUGGCUUUGGUUUGAAUGGGCAGACCCUUCUAAGACUUGGAUGGGGAUGGAAACACCAUGUUCAAACAGUGACAGAGAUUUGUUCUCGGCUUUCUGGCAAAAAGGCUAAAUUUUGGGGAUCCCCAUGGCUAAAUGGUCUCCGGCCUAAAGACAUCGCGCCAAAGAUCUUUGAAGUGUCCAAGAAGAAGGCAUGUUUGGUUAACAAGGCCUUGACAACAACUUCUGGAUCCAGCAAAUCGACACUACUCAGGGACUGACUUUGCCACAUGUCCAGGAGUUUGUGGUUCUGUGGGAGAUGAUUGAUGGUGUAGCUCUCAAUCCUGAUAGGAAGGACACUAUAUCUUGGAAAUUCACUCCCAGUGGCGACUAUUCGGUGACUACGGUGCACACAGCGCAGUUCGAGGGCCGAGUCCUUAGCUCAACCUCUCCCACAAUCUGGAGGAAUUGGGCUCCCCUGAAAUGCAAAUUCUUCACUUGGCUUAUCAUCCAAAAUCGUUUGUGGAUGGCAGAUCGGUUACAGCGGCGAGGUUGACCAAACUGCGGACUUUGUCCCCUAUGCAAACAAGUCCAAGAAUCUGCCAUCCAUCUUUUUUUCCAAUGUAGAUUCACUGCUCGCGUCUGGACCGAGGUGGUCACCUGGCUUGGCAUUCAGGACCACUCACCGCUGACUUGGCGCCACGAAGACACGGUUCAAGAUUGGUGGCAUAUCAAGAAAGCUAUUGGCUCUGUUCUGAUGCUUCUCAUAUGGGAAAUAUGGAAGGAGCGAAACGCGAGAGUUUUUCGCAACACGGCUUCACCGACCACUAUUAUCACUGCCAAGAUCAAAGAGGAGGCCCAUCUUUGGGCGUUGGCGGAAGCCAAACACAUGAGUGCAAUUAUUUCACGAGAGUAGUCUUUUAUUUUGCCGCUUUGAGCCAAACACAUGAGUGCAAUUAUAUCGCGAGAGUAGUCUUUUAUUUUGCCGCUUUGCGGCUUUUGUCUAAACCUUCUUCUUAAUUAAUGAAAUUGGCAAGUCUUUUGCCUUGUUUCAAAAAAAAAAACAAUAUAAUCUUACCUUCUCAGGAGUUAACCUUGAUUUCACGAGAAUUUAUAUAUAUUUCACAAUCCUUUGUUUUGCAUGUAAAAUCCUACAAUAUUAUUGUGUUUUUUCUUUCCAUUUAUACGUUUAAGGAAACCAUGCAAAUCAAAGAAGCCUUUAAGCCUUCAUCUACGCGCAAGCUUGGUGAUGUGCAAGAUGAAAAGGCACUAAAGGAUGGUCUCUGAGCCUGGAAAACGAAAACAAAAUUGAAUCUUAUAAUGUUACAGCAGGCCAGAAGAACCACUUCCACAAAGAAAGGUUGCCCAUAACACCUCCAGGCUACAAAAACAUCUCAUUAGUCUGAAAAUGCGCGUUGGCUCAGGACAGAGGAAACACCCUUCAAGUUGACACAAAUAACAAGGGCCUUAGAUAGUUAGAUCAAUGCGGUUCAACUAUGAUACAAUCACAGAAUUAUACAUAUAGAUAACCAGACUUUACAGAUGACAAAAGAGUCGCAAAGGUUGAUAACUACACUACCAGAACAUAUGCACAGCACGAUCCACGAGGAAGCGAAAAGAAACAAUCACCUGGUAACUUCGCAGGUACUACCCGCUACUCCGCAGUCAACUCAACCAUUUCGAGCUUUUGUGGCGACAGCGAAUAGGAGACCACAUACCCUGGUCCGCGGACCUUCUCUUUCCUGUGUACACGGUCACAGAUGAUAGGGAACAACCAGAACGUUUCUGUUCUGGGUGAUGACAACCGGCUGGCAAAGCUUCAUGAUGCCUAAGCAUGGCCAUUGUCACCAUGGGAAUCAC